UACGUAGGGUGCAAGCGUUAAUCGGAAUACUGGGCGUAAAGCGUGCGCAGGCGGUUAUGUAAGACAGAUGUGAAAUCCCCGGGCUCAACCUGGGAACUGCAUUUGUGACUGCAUAGCUAGAGUACGGUAGAGGGGGGAUGGAAUUCCGCGUGUAGCAGUGAAAUGCGUAGAUAUGCGGAGGAACACCGAUGGCGAAGGCAAUCCCCUGGACCUGUACUGACGCUCAUGCACGAAAGCGUGGGGAGCAAACAGG
rnacentral:rRNA from 1 species